GAUGAACGCUGGCUGCGUGCCUAAUACAUGCAAGUCGAGCGCACAUAUUUUUAUCUUUCUCUUCUGACGUUAGCGGCUGACGUGUGAGUAACACGUUGAUCACCUACCUCUAAGACUGUGAUCUCUUCGGGUCACCCUAGCUAAUACCGGAUAUUAUAUUCAACCGCAUGGUUCCAUAGCGAAACACGGUUUUUCUUUUAUUUAUAUAUGGAUUCGCACCGCAUAAGCUAGUUGGUAAGGUAACGGUUUACCAAGGCAACGGUGCGUAGCCGACCAGAGAGGGUGAUAGGCCACAGUGGAACUGAGAAGAGGUCAAGACUCCUAGGGGAGGCAGCAGUAGGGAAUCUGCGACAAUGGGCGAAAGCUUGACGGAGCAAAGCCGCAUGAGUAAUGAAGGUCAUCGGUGGGUAAGACUCUGUUAUUGGGGAAGAACAAAUGUGUAAGUAACAAGGCACGUGUUGACGGUACAUAAUCAGAAAACCACGGCUAACUAAGGG
rnacentral:rRNA from 1 species